rnacentral:rRNA from 1 species
UACGGGGGGGGCAAGCGUUGUUCGGAAUUACUGGGCGUAAAGGGCGCGUAGGCGGCCGUUUGCGUCGGAUGUGAAAGCUCGGGGCUCAACCCCGGAACGGCAUCCGAUACGGGACGGCUGGAGACCGGGAGAGGAGGGUGGAAUAGCCAGUGUAGAGGUGAAAUUCGUAGAUAUUGGCUGGAACACCGGUGGCGAAAGCGGCUCUCUGGCCCGGUUCUGACGCUGAGGCGCGAAAGCGUGGGGAGCAAACAGG